UGGAGAACUGUCCAGGCAACAGAGCCUGUCAGCCUCACAGGAAAUUGGUGGGACAGAAGCCAAUUUCCUUUGGCUGUUCUCAUCCAACUGCUAUCCCAGAGCAAGAGAGAAUUAAUCUGCCAAUGAGAACUUGGUCUCUGCCUGAGAGAUCAGCUUCCGGGAUAAGCCACAGGGCAACAUCAAUUCUGUGCCUAUGUGCUGUGAGCAGUGUGGGGCCAGCUCACCUGGGACAGCUUCCUUUUGCACUGUGCAGACAGCAGGGGGUUCCCACCAUUGGUUGGAACAGAGUGGAAGAUCCAGCAAAAAUAUUCAAUUGCUGCUGUUUAGAGACGUGUACUGGAUACCUGGAGGACCCGGCAGGAGGUUUUUGGAUGCAUCUGUAUCUCAUGUUCACAAAACAGUCCCUCCGCUCAUCUGUGUGAGGCGAGCUCCAUCUAAGUACGCAAUUUCAUGAUUAAGUGCACAGCAUCUAGCGGAGCAGAGAUGUAGACCGAGUUCCACCAGCCUUGCUUGGUCUUAGAUGCCUCCCUUAAUGAGUCCAGCAAGGAAACUCUGGGGAAUAACAAGUGACUAGUGGAAAGUUCCAGAAGAUGUAAGGAAUGUUGAAGGAGAACUCCAAACCACAACAGAUGGAGUGAGCAUGGACCCGGAAGAAGCCAGCACAGCAGGAGUCUUCAUGGUGACCAUAGCCUUCCAUUUCCUGAUUCUCCAGGAUGUGGUAUCUGCGUAGCCACUUUCCUGCUGGGCAUCUCAGCCAAUGAUUUUAUCUGCCCAAUCUCAGUCCACUAAUCCCUAACAUGGAUGUUAGUCAUGAGGAUAAAAUGUCCCAACAUGAAAACUGCCUGGCACAAUGCAUGUUCAGUUCCUGAUAUGCCCUUCUGUCUCCUUUGGUGAGUCACAUUUGUGACCCAGAGUUCUUUCACUGCUGCUAAAACUUGGAACAAAAGGCUCAGCUUGGAUCUGUCCACACCAGGGUGAUGACCUUUGAGCUCUGGCUGCUCCUGCCUUUUCCUUCCUGCUAUUUAUGAUGUCAGCAGUCAGGUGGCAGAAAGAUGCUCAGAGACGAGGAUACCAUGACAGAGAUGGGCUCUCUGUGGAGCUGGUCUCCCAGUCUGGACUCUGAUACUGAAGCAUUCCCAGUGAUCAGGGAUCAUUGGUGUGGUCAUUUCUCAUGAGUGCAUAACAUGUCACUGAUAUCUUAGUGACUUAAAAAAAGAUUUAUAAUCUCUGUGUUCUGGAAGGCGGAGGUCCAAAGUCCAGGCAUUCACAAUGCGAGUUCUUCCUGGAGGCACUGAGAAGAAAUUCAUGUGCUCUGUGCUGUGCUCCUAGAUUCUGGUGGAUUCUGGCAAUCCAUGUGUUCCUGGGCUCCUAGGCAACAAAUCCCAGUCUGUAUCUCCAUCAUCUCAUGGCCUUCCCUUUUGGGUGUCUUCAAUGUUGUCUACCUACACUACUCAUCCAAACAUGUCUGCCGGGAUCCCACACCAAGUUGACUGCCCUACCACCACUGAAUCCAAACACCAAGAUCAGCUUCUGGGGUGCUCAGCCCCCAGGGAACCGUCUGGGCACAGUUCUUAGCUGGGGCCUCUGCAUUCCUCUCGAGCUGUUGCCUUUGCAGAAAACGUUUAGGAGAAUGUUUUCUUGAUACCGUGCAAAAGCACCAAGAACCUACCACAUCACACUCUUUACUGCUUCUGUCUGCAUGCAAUCAGCUCUACCUGACUCUGGCAAUUUGGGAAGAAGGGAGGCUGUAGUUUGCUGUAAAUAAACUCCAAUUAGCCAGCAGUUAGAGCCUGGCUUUUGUGGUGGUGAUGGGGCUUCCCAUGGCUCUGCAUCCUGGCAUUCAUCAGGGCACACAAGGAGGCUGUGAAUGCCUCCUGCCCUAAAAUUCCUACACAUAACUUCAGUGGGAACAGCUGUGCCCCAAGUAUGUUCAGACAAAGCAGUGAGUGGCUUACAUGGGACUUGCCAGUGAAGCUGCUUAGCCUGGCAGUGCCUGGGAAGGCUUAUCUUUGAAUACUGACCCUGAGGUGAGCAGGA